rnacentral:rRNA from 1 species
GAGUUUGAUCCUGGCUCAGAACGAACGCUGGCGGCGUGCUUAACACAUGCAAGUCGAACGUGAUCCAGAGCUUGCUCUGGUGAAAGUGGCGCACGGGUGAGUAACGCGUGGAUAACCUGCCCUGGUAUCUGGGAUAACAUCUCGAAAGGGGUGCUAAUACCGGAUAAGCCUACGGGAUCUUCGGAUUCUGCAGGAAAAGGAGGCCUCUAUUUAUAAGCUCCCGUAUCAUGAUGGGUCCGCGUACGAUUAGCUAGUUGGUGGGGUAACGGCCUACCAAGGCGACGAUCGAUAGCUGGUCUAAGAGGAUGAUCAGCCACACUGGAACUGAGACACGGUCCAGACUCCUACGGGAGGCAGCAGUGGGGAAUUUUGCGCAAUGGGGGAAACCCUGACGCAGCAACGCCGCGUGGGUGAUGAAGGCUUUCGGGUCGUAAAGCCCCGUCGGAUGGAAAGAAUCGACUGGUGUUAAUAGCGCCAGUUUUGACGGUACCAUCAAAGGAAGUCACGGCUAACUCUGUGCCAGCAGCCGCGGUAAUAC